CCAACGGUUACCAAUUCCAGGUGUAGCGGUGAAAUGUGUAGAGAUUUGGAGGAAUACCGGUGGCGAAGGCGGCCCCCUGGACAAAGACUGACGCUCAGGUGCGAAAGCGUGGGGAGCAAACAGGAUUAGAUACCCUGGUAGUCCACGCCGUAAACGAUGUCUACUUGGAGGUUGUGCCCUUGAGGCGUGGCUUCCGGAGCUAACGCGUUAAGUAGACCGCCUGGGGAGUACGGCCGCAAUGUGUUAAAACUCAAAUGAAUUGACGGGGGCCCGCACAUAGCGGUGAGACAUGGGACCCCG
rnacentral:rRNA from 1 species